rnacentral:lncRNA from 1 species
ACCCCGAGGAGUGCGGCCAUAAUAGUCCUCCACCAUCGCUGCUGUGAGCGAGGAAUAACAUGGCCGCAGCCCCCAUUACUUCGUGUGCGCACCGUCGGGUUCGAUGGCAAGGAGCUGCAACGACCAUGACACCGCCGGAUUCAAUGGUGAGGAGCUGCACCAACAAAUUCUACAACCUAGGUACGCUGCCCAUGCUCUCUGCCAUCUUCAAAUCUGCGUAUGACGCCUUCACCUCUCGGCUGCCCGAUGGCACUGAACCCAUAUCCGACCUAUACGACCCCGCCGUCGCAGGAUUCACAGACGAGGAGCCGCGACGACCUUGCCGCUGUUGGGUUCGAUGGCAAGAAUCUGCAGCAGCCCCUUCUGCGAUUGGAGCUCCGCUACCCUCGCUCCCUCCCGCAUCAUUCAAAUCUCGCCAGAUGUGUCACAAAGAAAAGGUGGGGGAAAAGAUGAUAUUUUGUUUUCCUGCUGCAUAAUUGAUUUGAAUCGAAAUUUGUCUGAGUGUUAAUGAAUAGUGAGCAUCUGACAUUUGUUAGGAUGAUAGUUCAUGUAAUUGGUAUUGUCUGAAGAGGUUGUAUUCCAAAAAAAUCAUCAUGAGAUUUUGGGCGUUGCAUACAUGAUUGUAGUACAAUUAUGAACGAAAAGUGAUUGUGCUUUCUUUAUUUCUUUGGUUCAUUACAGUUAUGACCUACACAACAGAUAAUUGUAUCAGCAUGCUUUUGACUGUGUUAUCCCUUCAUUGUUGUAUAGAUAGGAUGUUGACAGGG